rnacentral:rRNA from 1 species
UACAGAGGUCUCAAGCGUUGUUCGGAUUCAUUGGGCGUAAAGCGCGUGUAGGCGGCUUUGCAAGUCGGAUGUGAAAGCCCACGGCUCAACCGUGGAAGUGCAUCCGAAACUGCAUGGCUGGAGUCUCGGAGAGGAAGGUGGAAUGCUUGGUGUAGAGGUGAAAUUCGUAGAUAUCAAGCAGAACACCUGCGGCGAAGGCGGCCUUCUGGACGAUGACUGACGCUGAGACGCGAAAGCGUGGGGAGCAAACAGG